UAGUUAUUACCACAACCCUUCUUGAGAAUAACUCUGCCUUGGGAAGAAAUAUGUUUUUUAUAAAAGUCUGAGGUUGUGUAAUCUUAGCAGUGUCCCAGCAAGGGAGCUGAUCCACACUGGGUGCAGCAGACAGCAGCUCACUGGUGGGUUUUUUCAGGUGCACAAGCCCCUGGUCUAUAGAAAUCUCAGGGGAAUAGUACAGGUCUGGAGCACUAGAAUGCCUGGCCACAUCUUCCCCCUGCUUGCCAGCAUGACAUAUAAGGCCCUGCCAAAUUCCCCUUCCUCAUGAUUAUUAAAAAAAAAAGUUAAAACAUCAUUUUCCCCUGUAUCAUGAGAAGUUUUCUUUCAACUCUUGUCCCUUUUUAUCUCUGUGGCCCAGGAUUGUUUUCUAAAUAAAAGUUUCCUCUGCUGGUACAUAAUUAGUUCAAUUUUCCCUCUGGUUUCACCCACAUCUCAAGAAUAAACCUCAGUGGUUUAUACCUUGGACAAGCACAUUGCUGCAGCACUUGAAGGGAAAUCCUGUCCUUGUCACUAUGAGGACAGACAAAUGAAUGUGUCUGCUAUGGGACGGCAUUCACUAUCUUGCUGUGACAGCACUGUGUGACACCACAUGGCUGUUGGUAACAUGUUGGUCAUCUUGGUAGAAACAGGGCUUUUAUGGCAGAAAACAUAAUUAAAAGGUGUCUUAAAAUAAAAGGUUCUAACCUUUAAAUUUUGAUAUGCAUAAAAGUAAGACAACAUUGUAUUUUUCUCCAGGUGGAAUUGUGGUGCCAAUUGUGAGAAGUAUCUGAGUGUUCUUUUUCUCACCUCAGUUAUGAAGGAUGACUGCAUAAUCCACUUCACAAACCCAGCAUCAUUGUAUCAGGACUAAAUAAUCCAGCCAAAAGAUACAGCUAUUCUGUGCCAGGGGCUGAUACUUUCUUUUCCGAAGACAACAGCUGCACUGCACAACCUUGAUGAAUCCCCAUAAGGGCUCAUGAACACCGAGAAGGAAUUUUAGAGAGCCAUAGUUACUGACGUGCAAUUUAUUUUUUGGACUAAAUUGAUUUUAUGUGUGAAAAUAGGCACAAUCUGGAGGUGUGCUUUAUGCUCCUAAAAGGCAUCUUAAGGGAGCUUUGGUGGUACAGAUAAACUCACAAAGCUACAGUCUGGAGACUCAAAUCACGUGGGGAAAGAAGAUGUCUGGUGCCUCGCCUGAGUCAGGAUGUGUGCCAUUUGAUAAGGCCCUGCUAGGUGGUCCAUCCUUGCUCCCUGUCACCAUCUGGCUUCACAUCACCUUGACACCUGUGGAUGGAUAGACAGUUCAGGCUGCCUGCCUGCCUCUGGGACAUAGUUUCAUCAUAUGGGUUGGAGCUGUGGCACUACACUACAAAUGCCAGCCACAUUUGGGGAAGCAGGGCAUGGGAGAGAGAAGCCACCUCUCAGGACUGGAAACGUACAAACUAUCAUCUUCACACCACUUCAGGGACAGAUGCCUCAUGCCCAUGAUGGGAGAUGUUCAUGUCACUCAAUUAUUGCAUCUGUUGGUCAGAAAAGUGAUGCCUAGUUUGCUUUGUAUUUGGGAAUUCAUUCACUGUAACCACUGCAUAAGAAAGCAGGUUUAAGGCAUAUUGAGGGGCAGAGUUGUGCAGCAGGGUGGGAGGCUGCAGCAAAUACCAAAUUUACUGUAAUACACAAACCUGGAUAUCCUCAGUUUGCACAGUUGGCACAUGGGCCCUGCAGCUUAGUGAAUACUAAUCUCUCCAACCGGUAGGAAUGCAUCAUCUCUCAUUUAGCAAUGACAAAGACCAGAGAGUUGCAGGAACUUGUACUGAGUGACAGAUAAAGUCACAGCAGCAGAAUUAUGGUCUGCUUUGGUGUCCUGAAUAGUAGACCACCCAAGUUUGCCAAGACUACAUCCGACAGCAGGAUGGAGUCACUCUGGGGCUUUUCCAUCAAUCCCUGUCCCUGAUUGUUCAGUUCAAAGCAGGCUGCAGCUCUCAUCCCUUCCAAGUGCUCAGGUUUCCUUUCCUUCAGAAACAGUAAGAGCAGUGGGGAAGAAGUGUAUGCCAGCUCUACCUUCAUCAGGGAAACCAGCCUGGGUAUGCAUUCACUUCUGGGAAUUGGGAAGCACUCUCAGCCCCACUGUUUUGGUUAUAGUCCGAGUGGUUCUUGCCCACAAACUCACUGUGGCUUUUUUUUUUUUCACUCACAUUUUCAUGUGAUGGUUGUUUGAGCACAUGUAGGUAAAUAAUGACUUGCCAGGGCAUGUUUGUGUUAUUUCCACAAUACUGACAUGCCAGGGUCACAAAGGUGUCUCUCAGUUAUGGAAGGGAUGAGUGAAGGCUAAGGAGGUGACAUCCAGGAACAGGAAUUGAGCUUGAAGGAAUUGAUGACCCAAGCAGAGGAAAGAGCAUCUCCUCCAAAGGCAUUCAAAGACCUGUGGCAGUAGCUGAGGACUGACCAUGCAGGUGAGGAGAGCAGAAAAAUAAUCAAGCCCCAAAAUUAUUUGAAUGGGAUUUGUUUGGAAAUGAAACCUCUGCCUUUCUGAAUAAAACUUGGGAAAGACUGGGUGAGGCUGGAGCAGUUUUUAAGCUUAUAUACUGUACCUGCAGCGUUUCUGAGCCAGCUGAAAUCUGAUUUAGAAUGUUUUUAAUAUUCUGUUUCCUCUUGCAGUACAUACCCUGGGAAACUUUAUUUCUACUUUCUGUGGCCAUAAGUGCCCCAAGUUCUGCUAUUUUGAAUAUGCCCUUCCUCUCCUGAUUUUCAGGUUUGCUGUCCAUUUGGAAAUCUUUUUGACCCUAAGACAGUAACAUCCAUAAUUUUCUUAGUGAGACUGAAAUGUGCUAAAACAUACAGAACGGCAUUUCCACAACUCCUGUCCAGUUAAGUGUUUGUUUGCCUCUCCAUUCCCAUCUCUGCUGAUCUAAAAGGAGAAAAAAUGCUCCCCUAUCAGGCCAUUCCUUCUGCCUGAUUAACUGGUGGCUAUCACAGGUCUUCCUUUGCACUGUUACAGUCUCAUUACCACAGGAAAAAAACCUGGUGGGUGUUGAGAUGGAGUGGGGCAGCACUAAAGAACCCCCCAGGUUUCUGUUUAUAGCAAAAAGCUGCCAUGUGCUCAUUGGAAAUCAGCAGAUAUUUUUCCUUAAAGCAUCCAGCAGUGCAGUGCAACUCACUAAUAACUGCUUGUCAGGGGAUCAGGAGGGAAACCCCAGAAGAGAGACUGUAGGUGCAGUUAGAAGCAGUGGUGAGCAGUUGACUUGGGGGGCUUUCUUUUGCUUUCAUUUAAAAGAUAGAAAGACCUACAAAUUAAGCAACAUCUAGCUCCUAAUGUGUGAAACUGCAAUUUGCAUACAUCAUGGCAGCUGCUGAGCUGGUCCUUAUUACCUCUGCUGGAGUGUUAAUUUAGCCCCAACUUUCUCAUUUAUUUAAAUGAAAAAGCAGCAGGGGGCUGGCAUGCUGCAUUAUCUGUCAGGCAACCUGGGAAUCAGGUUGACAGAGCCAGGAAGAGAUUUCAAUUCAGAGGGACUGCAGGGGUGCUGUCCUCCAGGACCGGUGGGUGCAGGUGAGCUCCUGAUUGCUCUCAGUCUGCCCUAAAGGUCAACACCCUAAGAAAAAAAUUAUCAAUGUUAUAUUUGGACUAACAUAAGAAAACAGAUAAGAGGAUUAAAUUAAAAACCUCUCUGAUUUUUUUCUCUCCCUAUGUAUCCAAACUGGCAAUGUACAUAUGGAUAUGACAACCAAAAUAUUAUUAUUGGUCCUAACAUAAUACAGAUCAUGAUGUGGUCCAAACUCCCAUCAGGGGCUGGAUGCACCCCGGCCCUAUGCCCAUGCAGGAGAGUGCCAAAGCUGCUCAGGUGAGAGGGUGCUUGGAGGCACUUCCACGUGUGGCUGAUGCCAAGUGGGUGGAGGGAUAUCCCAGAACUACUCACUUGUGGGAAGUAAAGCAAAUAUAAGGUACUAGUCCCCAGAUCAGAGGCUGUCUCAGUCUUCAGGACAAGAGGGCAACAAGCUGCAGGGAAUACCUGAGCAGGGAGGAGUGAAGAGCAGUGGCCACACUGAGAAGUCACCAAGGGGCAUUCAGUCAAGCAAGCAUGAGGCUCUUCUUUUCUGAGCUACAAUGUUGUACCACCUUUUAAUGACACAUCUGUGUAAAAUUUUGCAUUUAUCAGUGGAGAAUGAGCCACAGCAAAGCUGCAGAACCACAGAAUUAUCAUGGCUAGCAGUAAGCUCAGGUGGCCAAGAAGGCCAAUGUCAUUCUGGCUUUUAUCAGGAACAGUGUGGCCAGCAGGACCAGGGCAGUGAUUGGUUCUCCAUACUCGGCACUGGUGAGGCUGCACCUUGAAUAUUGUGUUCAAUUUUGAGCCCUUCACUACAAGAA